UACGUAGGGUACGAGCGUUGUCCGGAAUUACUGGGCGUAAAGAGCUCGUAGGUGGUUUGUCGCGUUGUCCGUGAAAACUCACAGCUCAACUGUGGGCGUGCGGGCGAUACGGGCAGACUGGAGUACUGCAGGGGAGACUGGAAUUCCUGGUGUAGCGGUGAAAUGCGCAGAUAUCAGGAGGAACACCGGUGGCGAAGGCGGGUCUCUGGGCCGAUACUGACGCUGAGGAGCGAAAGCGUGGGGAGCGAACAGG
rnacentral:rRNA from 1 species